rnacentral:rRNA from 1 species
UACGGGGGGGGUAAGCGUUGUUCGGAAUUACUGGGCGUAAAGGGCUCGUAGGCGGCCAACUAAGUCAUACGUGAAAUCCCUCAGCUUAACUGGGGAACUGCGUGUGAUACUGGAUGGCUUGGAUUUGGGAGAGGGAUGCGGAAUUCCAGGUGUAGCGGUGAAAUGCGUAGAUAUCAAGAGGAACACCAAUUGCGAAGGCAGCUCGCUGGGACGUUACUGACGCUGAGACGCGAAAGCGUGGGGAGCAAACAGG